rnacentral:rRNA from 1 species
UAAAGCUACUAAGAGCUAAUGGAGAAUGCCUUGGUACUGACAGCCGAUGAAGGACGUGUAAAGCUGCGAUAAGCUGCGGGGAACUGCUAAAAGGUCUUGAUCCGCAGAAUUCCGAAUGGGGAAACCCUCUAGGGUUAAAACCUUAGAACCCAUAACUGAAUACAUAGGUUAUGUGGAGGAAAGCCUGUGAACUGAAACAUCUUAGUAACAGGACGAAGAGAAAAUAAACUAAUGAUUCCGAAAGUAGCGGCGAGCGAAAUUGGAACAGCCUAAACCUUGUGUACGUGAUAGACUGCAAUCGUUGUGCAUUGGGUGUUGUGGGACUUACUGAAAUAUUUGCAGGUAUUUCGAAGAGUUACAAAAUUAUUUGUUAGUUGAAUUCAACUGGAAAGUUGAGCCAUAGCGGGUGAUAGCCCCGUAAACGAAAACAAAUGAUCUCUUGUAAGUAUCCCGAGUAAGGCGGGGCACGUGAAACCCUGUCUGAAUCCACCAGGACCAUCUGGUAAGGCUAAAUACUAGUCAGUGACCGAUAGUGAACGAGUACAGUGAUGGAAAGGCGAAAAGAACAGUGAGAAGCUGAGUGAAAUAGAUCCUGAAACCGUUAGCUUACAAUCAGUUAGAGCACUAUUGAUAGUGUGAUAGCGUGCCUGUUGAAGAAUGAGCCGGCGAGUUAUCUUAUGUUGCAAGGUUAAGGAGUUAAUAUCCGGAGCCACAGCGAAAGCGAGUUUGAAUAGAGCGUUAAGUAACAUGCGAUAGACCCGAACCUUGGUGAUCUAACCAUGACCAGGAUGAAGCGUAGGUAACACUACGUGGAGGUCCGAACCGACUGAUGUUGAAAAAUCAGCGGAUGAGUUGUGGUUAGGGGUGAAAUGCCAAUCGAACCAAGAGCUAGCUGGUUCUCCCCGAAAUGCGUUUAGGCACAGCGUCAGAUUUAUCUUACAGGAGGUAGAGCACUGGUUUUGUGCGGGCGACGAAAUGUUGUACCAAACAAUGUCAAACUCCGAAUGCCUGUAAUGUUACUGUCUGGCAGUGAGGCUAUGAGUGAUAAGAUCCAUGGCCAAGAGGGAAACAGCCCAGAACGCCAGUUAAGGUCCCUAAUAUAUGCUAAGUGGUUAAGGAGGUAGAGUUGCUGUGACAACCAGGAGGUUGGCUUAGAAGCAGCCAUCCCUUGAAAGAGUGCGUAAUAGCUCACUGGUCAAGCGACUCCGCGCCGAAAAUACACCGGGACUAAAGCAUAUAACCGAAACUGCGUCAUUAAGUUUACUUAAUGGGUAGGGGAGCGUUCUGUUGUAGGUUGAAGUCAGAUCGAAAGGACUGAUGGACGAAGCAGAAGUGAGAAUGUCGGCAUGAGUAGCGAAAACAUUGGUGAGAAUCCAAUGCACCGAAAACCUAAGGUUUCCCCUGGCAGGCUCGUCCGCGGGGGGUUAGUCGGAACCUAAGCUCAGGCCGAAAGGCGUAGGCGAUGGACAACAGGUUGAUAUUCCUGUACUAUCUGGUAAUCGUUAUCAGAUGCGGAGGGACGCAGGAGGAUAAGCACGCAGACGAUUGGAUGUGUCUGUUUAAGCGUGUAGCUAGUUUGAGUAGGAAAAUCCGCUCAGGCGUUAUGACGUGAGGCGUGAUGAGGAGGCUCUACGGAGCUGAAGGUGUUGAUUCCACACUGCCAAGAAAAUCUUCGCAAUCGAGAUUAUCCGGUAUCCGUACCGUAAACCGCCACAGGUAGGUUGGUAGAAUAUACUAAGGUGCGCGAGACAACUCUCGCUAAGGAACUCGGCAAAAUCACCUCGUAACUUCGGGAGAAGAGGUACCCUGGUAGCGUGUAACGGCUUGCCCGUGAAGCGUGAUAGGGUCGCAGUGAAUUGGCCCAUGCGACUGUUUACCAAAAACACAGGUCUCUGCUAAGUCGAUCAAGACGAUGUAUAGGGGCUGACGCCUGCCCGGUGUCGGAAGGUUACGUGGAAGUGUUAGACCUCGGUCGAAGCACCGAAACUAAGCCCCGAUGAACGGCGGCCGUAACUAUAACGGUCCUAAGGUAGCGAAAUUCCUUGUCAGGUAA